GCAACAGACACAUCUGUGCCCUCUGCUCCCUUGUUUCUAUCCCAAUGCAGGACCCUGAGAUGAUGAAUAUGAUUGCGUUUAAAGGCAAAAACAAAUUUACUCGACGCAGUGAGGAUGGCUGCAUCAUCAUACCAAAGAUUGGAGUUGAGGGCUCAAAGACCAGCCGAGAAAUUACUUCCCUCAAGCCCCGAAGAGAGUCUCAGCCGUGGGGCGGGGGUGCCCGAAGAGUGAGCGUGUAUGAUCCGGUGGUGCUGGCUCGGCGCAGGGCAUCUCAAGCUGUGAGGGAAGAGAGAAAACAAAAGGAGCAGGAGAAGAAAAAGCAAGGAG
ensembl:lncRNA